rnacentral:rRNA from 5 species
CUAGUAACGGCGAGUGAAGAGGGAAGAGCCCAAGAUUGAAAGCUGGCGUCUUCGGCGUCCGCAUUGUAAUCUCAAGAAGUGUUUUCCGCUUCGGACCAUGCCUAAGUCCCUUGGAAAAGGGCAUCAUAGAGGGUGAUAAUCCCGUACAUGGCAUGGAGCGCCCGAAGCUUUGUGAUACGCUUUCUAAGAGUCGAGUUGUUUGGGAAUGCAGCUCAAAAUGGGUGGUAAAUGCCAUCUAAGGCUAAAUAUUGGGGAGAGACCGAUAGCGAACAAGUACAGUGAUGGAAAGAUGAAAAGAACUUUGAAAAGAGAGUUAAACAGUACGUGAAAUUGCCAAAAGGGAAGGGUAGGAGGUCAGAGAUGCGUUCUGGGAUUCAGCCUUGCUUUUGCUUGGUGUUUUUCCCAGAUUGCAGGCCAACGUCGGUUUUGGGCGCUGGAGAAGGGUGGAAGGAACGUGGCACCCCUCGGGGUGUGUUAU